GCUACCACUUCUAAGGAAGGCAGCAGGCACGCAAAUUACCCAAUGGUCGACGACCGAGGUAGUGACGAAAAAUAACGAUGCCGGUCUCAUUUGAGGCCCGGUAAUUGGAAUGAGUACACUUUAAAUCCUUUAACGAGGAACAAUUGGAGGGCAAGUCUGGUGCCAGCAGCCGCGGUAAUUCCAGCUCCAAUAGCGUAUAUUAAAGUUGUUGCGGUUAAAAAGCUCGUAAGUUGGAUCUCAACGAGCAGGAGGGUGGCUCAACGUUUUGUUGUUGCUGGCCUUCAUUCGCUCGUGUUUUUGACGGAGGCUCCAGGGUUGCCCUUAACUGUGAGUGUCUGGUGCGCCGUCAGGUUUACUUUGAAAAAAAUUAGAGUGCUCAAAGCAGGCCUUUACACGCUUGAAUAUUCGUGCAUGGAAUAAUGGAAUAGGAAGUCAUUUCUAUUUUGUUGGUUUUCGGAAUUUGACUUAAUGAUUAAUAGGGACAGCCCGGGGGGCAUUAGUAUUCAGACGACAGAGGUGAAAUUCUUGGACCGUCUGAAGACUAACUACUGCGAAAGCAUUUGCCAAGAGUGUUUUCAUUAAUCAAGAACGAAAGUUAGAGGUUCGAAGGCGAUCAGAUACCGCCCUAGUUCUAACCAUAAACGAUGCCAGCUAGCGAUCCGCAGUUGUUACUUUAAGGCUCUGCGGGAAGCUUCCGGGAAACCAAAGCUUUUGGGUUCCGGGGGAAGUAUGGUUGCAAAGCUGAAACUUAAAGGAAUUGACGGAAGGGCACCACCAGGAGUGGAGCCUGCGGCUUAAUUUGACUCAACACGGGAAAUCUCACCAGGCCCGGACACUGGAAGGAUUGACAGAUUGAGAGCUCUUUCUCGAUUCAGUGGGUGGUGGUGCAUGGCCGUUCUUAGUUGGUGGAGUGAUUUGUCUGGUUAAUUCCGAUAACGAACGAGACUCUGUCCUGCUAAAUAGUUGCGACGCCCUUGGUGCGUCGCAAUCUCUUCUUAGAGGGACUGGCGGCUUUUAGCCGCACGAGAUUGAGCAAUAACAGGUCUGUGAUGCCCUUAGAUGUUCUGGGCUGCACACGCGCUACACUUGAAGGGAUCAGCGUGUUUUCCCUUCCUGAGAGGGACGGGUAAACCGCUGAAACCCCUUCGUGGUAGGGAUCGGAGCUUGCAAUUAUUCUCCGUGAACCAGGAAUUCCCAGUAAGCGCAAGUCAUAAGCUUGCGUUGAUUACGUCCCUGCCCUUUGUACACACCGCCCGUCGCUACUACCGAUUGAACGUUUUAGUGAGGUAUUUGGACUGGGCCUCUGUCGGCUCCGG
rnacentral:rRNA from 1 species